rnacentral:rRNA from 1 species
UACGUAGGGCGCAAGCGUUAUCCGGAAUUAUUGGGCGUAAAAGAGCUCGUAGGCGGUUUGUCGCGUCUGCUGUGAAAGACCGGGGCUCAACUCCGGUUCUGCAGUGGGUACGGGCAGACUAGAGUGCAGUAGGGGAGACUGGAAUUCCUGGUGUAGCGGUGAAAUGCGCAGAUAUCAGGAGGAACACCGAUGGCGAAGGCAGGUCUCUGGGCUGUAACUGACGCUGAGGAGCGAAAGCAUGGGGAGCGAACAGG